rnacentral:rRNA from 1 species
CUAGUUCGGAUUGUAGGCUGCAACUCGCCUACAUGAAGCUGGAAUUGCUAGUAAUCACAGGUCAGCAUACUGUGGUGAAUACGUUCCCGGGCCUUGUACACACCGCCCGUCACACCAUGAGAGUUGAGAAUACCCGAAGUCCAUGUCAAAGUGGCCGAAGGUAGGCUUGAUGAUUGGGGUGAAGUCGUAACAAGGUAGC